rnacentral:rRNA from 1 species
CAAGUCGAACGAGCGAGAGAGAGCUUGCUUUCUCAAGCGAGUGGCGAACGGGUGAGUAACGCGUGAGGAACCUGCCUCAAAGAGGGGGACAACAGUUGGAAACGACUGCUAAUACCGCAUAAGCCCACGACUCGGCAUCGGGUGGAGGGAAAGGGAGCAAUCCGCUUUGAGAUGGCCUCGCGUCCGAUUAGCUAGUUGGUGAGGUAAUGGCCCACCAAGGCGACGAUCGGUAGCCGGACUGAGAGGUUGAACGGCCACAUUGGGACUGAGACACGGCCCAGACUCCUACGGGAGGCAGCAGUGGGGAAUAUUGCACAAUGGGGGAAACCCUGAUGCAGCGACGCCGCGUGGAGGAAGAAGGUCUUCGGAUUGUAAACUCCUGUUGUUGAGGAAGAUAAUGACGGUACUCAACAAGGAAGUGACGGCUAACUACGUGCCAGCAGCCGCGGUAAAACGUAGGUCACAAGCGUUGUCCGGAAUUACUGGGUGUAAAGGGAGCGCAGGCGGGAAGACAAGUUGGAAGUGAAAUCCAUGGGCUCAACCCAUGAACUGCUUUCAAAACUGUUUUUCUUGAGUAGUGCAGAGGUAGGCGGAAUUCCCGGUGUAGCGGUGGAAUGCGUAGAUAUCGGGAGGAACACCAGUGGCGAAGGCGGCCUACUGGGCACCAACUGACGCUGAGGCUCGAAAGUGUGGGUAGCAAACAGGAUUAGAUACCCUGGUAGUCCACACUGUAAACGAUGAUUACUAGGUGUUGGAGGAUUGACCCCUUCAGUGCCGCAGUUAACACAAUAAGUAAUCCACCUGGGGAGUACGACCGCAAGGUUGAAACUCAAAGGAAUUGACGGGGGCCCGCACA